rnacentral:misc_RNA from 1 species
AACGCACGAGACCUGCGGACCUGCGGAAGGAUCAUUACAGAGUUCGUGCCCUCACGGGUAGAUCUCCCACCCUUGUGUAUUCCUUACAUUUGUUGCUUUGGCAGGCCGUUGGUUCGCCAACCACCGGCUCGCGGGCUGGUGCGUGCCUGCCAGAGGACCUCUCAAACUCGGUUUGUUAGUGUCGUCUGAGUAUCAUAAACAAUCGUUAAAACUUUCAACAAUGGAUCUCUAGAUCGGAAG